rnacentral:rRNA from 1 species
GCAGUCGAGCGGUAAGGCUCCUUCGGGAGUACACGAGCGGCGAACGGGUGAGUAACACGUGAGCAAUCUGCCCUUCUCAUCGGAAUAACCAUUGGAAACGAUGGCUAAUGCCGAAUACGACCUCCCCUCGCAUGUUGGGAGGUGGAAAGCUCCGGCGGAGAAGGAUGAGCUCGCGGCCUAUCAGCUUGUUGGCGGGGUAACGGCCCACCAAGGCAACGACGGGUAGCCGGCCUGAGAGGGUGACCGGCCACACUGGGACUGAGACACGGCCCAGACUCCUACGGGAGGCAGCAGUGGGGAAUAUUGGACAAUGGGCGAAAGCCUGAUCCAGCAACGCCGCGUGAGGGAUGACGGCCUUCGGGUUGUAAACCUCUUUCAGCAGGGACGAAGCGAAAGUGACGGUACCUGCAGAAGAAGGACCGGCCAACUACGUGCCAGCAGCCGCGGUAAUACGUAGGGUCCGAGCGUUGUCCGGAAUUAUUGGGCGUAAAGGGCUCGUAGGCGGUCUGUCGCGUCGGGAGUGAAAACUCAGGGCUUAACUCUGAGCGGGCUUCCGAUACGGGCAGACUAGAGGGAUGCAGGGGAGAACGGAAUUCCUGGUGUAGCGGUGGAAUGCGCAGAUAUCAGGAGGAACACCGGUGGCGAAGGCGGUUCUCUGGGCAUUACCUGACGCUGAGGAGCGAAAGCAUGGGGAGCGAACA